UACGGGGGGGGCAAGCGUUGUUCGGAAUUACUGGGCGUAAAGGGCUCGUAGGCGGCCAACUAAGUCAGACGUGAAAUCCCUCGGCUUAACCGGGGAACUGCGUCUGAUACUGGAUGGCUUGAGUUUGGGAGAGGGAUGCGGAAUUCCAGGUGUAGCGGUGAAAUGCGUAGAUAUGACAUAGAACACCAAUUGCGAAGGCAGCUCGCUACACGAAUAUUGACUCUGAGGCACGAAAGCGUGGGGAUCAAACAGG
rnacentral:rRNA from 1 species